AACCAGCACCUCAAGUGGUCAGGAUGAUUAUUGGGCCUAAAGCAUCCGUAGCCGGCUCUGUAAGUUUUCGGUUAAAUCUGUACGCUCAACGUACAGGCUGCCGGGAAUACUGCAGAGCUAGGGAGUGGGAGAAGUAGACGGUACUCGGUAGGAAGUGGUAAAAUGCUUUGAUCUAUCGAUGACCACCUGUGGCGAAGGCGGUCUACUAGAACACGUCCGACGGUGAGGGAUGAAAGCUGGGGAUCAAACAGG
rnacentral:rRNA from 1 species